CGCCCCGCCCGUUCCUGCUUCCGCCAUCGCUGCGCCGCGUCCGCUUUGCCCUGCAAUUUUCCCCGUGCCGGUUUCUAGUGCUCGCUGUCCAAUUUCAGGGUAUUUUUGCUCUCGCUCAGAGUUCAGACGUCCACCCCGGCCAUUUAGUCCCGUGGUCACAAGGAGCAGUUGCUGUGUUAGGACUCAGUGGAUGAUGAAACUCACCAGAGACCACAUAGCUAGAGAAUGGCCAGACUCAGUUUUGAAUCUAAGCAAUCUUGACUCCAGAGCCCUCCAGCUUAAAGGAUGGCCGUAUGAGAGUGACUUCUGAUGGCCUCGCCAGCAACCACACAAGGUCUCUUACGGCUAAGACUCUGGAACUCACACAGCGUUGCUUUUGUCACCGUCUGUUGGUCAAGGACAGUCUCAAGGCCAACCCAGAUUCAAGGGAGUGGAGAGAUAGCCUCUGCAUCUUGAUGGAAAGGGUGGCAACAUCAUACUGCAAAAAUGCAUGUGGAUACAGGAAAGUGUGACUCAUUGGGGAGCAUUAUUAUAAUGUUUUUCCGUAGCUGACAUUUCCCACAGGAUAACAUUCUGCUUGCCAGCCUUCCUGUUAUGCCCACAGCUUCCUUUAAAUAGGGGUGCUGGGGUGGCUCAGUCGGUUAAGUGUCCAACUCCUGAUUUCAGCUCAGGUUAUGAUCUCACGGUUGGUGAGAUUGAGCCCUGUGUCGUGCUCUGCGCUGACUGCAGGGAGCCUGCUUGGGAUUCUCUCUCCCUGUCUCUCUGCCCUUCUCCCACGCUUGCUCUCUCCCUCUCUAAACAAACAAACAAACAAACUUUAGAAAUAAAUAAACAAACAAAUGGAAUAGUUCAUAUGGUUUCAUACUUUGUACUGUGUAACUCCACCACCUGGCUGUAAGGAGUUGGACUGGAAAUUAGUGCUUAUAUUAGUUAGGAUUAGAACCACAUUCCAGUGAGACAAAAUCCCACAUGGCUGGGUUUAAACAAGAUAGAAGUUUAUUUCUGGCUCUUGUCAAAGUCCAGAGGUAGGUUCUUCAGGAUUGGUAUUGGCCCCUUCUGUCUGUUGCUCCAUUGAGCAACAGUACCUCCCAUUUUUAAGGUUGCCUCAUGAUCCAGUAUGGCUGCCAAAGCUCAAUUAUCACAACCAAUUCCACCCAACAGGAAGGGAGAGGGGGAGGAAAAAUAGAACCCACUCUAUUUAAGGAUAUUUUAUGGAAGUUACACAUCCAUCUUCCUCUUAUAUCCCAUUGGCCUGCACUUAGUCACAUAGCCAUACUUAUCAACACAGGAGAUUGGGAAGUGUACUGGUGGCCAUGUGACUGGCCAAAAAUCCAGAGUUCUAUUACUACAAAAUAAGGAGAGAGUAGACACUGAUGGGUGAUCAGCAGUCUCUACCACAUGCUUGACCUAAAGGCAUGUAAUGUGGCCUGGUAUGAGAUAUAUGCCCAACAGAGAUGUAUGAUUUAUUAACUCCUUCCUUCUGCAAACAUAGUAUACAUUGUGUCCUUUCUACAAGCCAAGCACUGUUCUAGCUACUAAAAAUAGGGUAGUAAACAAAGCAAAGUCCCUGCCUUCCUUCAGUUAAUAAACUCUAGUUGGGAAAGAUAGGCAAUAAACAGUAUAUUGUAAAAUACUGACUUUGUGCUGUGAAUAAUUGGUGUAGGCAAGGGGAUAUAUAGUUAAGGCAUGUGGAUAGGAAGGGAUAUUUAUUUUAGGUAGGUGACAUGUGAGCAGGGACACGAAUGAGGUGAGGAACAGCCACGAAGUUCUAGGGGAAAAGGCACAGGCCAAGAGAACCGUGAGUUCAAAGGCCUUGUAAAGCAGGAGCAUGUUUGGAAUGUUUGAAGUAAGGAAUCUGGCGUAACUAGAAAAGGAGCUGGGGGAGUGAUGGGAGAUGGGGAUGUGGAGAUAGCCGGAGAUUAGACUAUAAUAAGGACUGGGUAGUGGAGUGUAAGAUAUGCUUUCUUUAGGAGUCUGAAAGCAAAGUUGUGUCAGGGGUUCACAAGGUCACCCCCAGGUUCAAUAAUUUGCUAGGAGGAUUCACAGGGCUCAGCGUACAGUCAGACUUAAUGGCUAAAAUAGUGACAGGAUGCAGAGCAAAAUGAGCAAAGGGAAAAG